CGCGGGAUUAGAGUUUCAUCAUGGCUCAGAUUGAACGCUGGCGGCAGGCUUAACACAUGCAAGUCGAGCGGUAACAGGAAUAGCUUGCUAUUUGCUGACGAGCGGCGGACGGGUGAGUAAUGCUUGGGAAUAUGCCUUAUGGUGGGGGACAACAGUUGGAAACGACUGCUAAUACCGCAUAAUGUCUACGGACCAAAGGGGGGGAUCUUCGGACCUCUCGCCAUUUGAUUAGCCCAAGUGAGAUUAGCUAGUUGGUAAGGUAAUGGCUUACCAAGGCGACGAUCUCUAGCUGGUUUGAGAGGAUGAUCAGCCACACUGGGACUGAGACACGGCCCAGACUCCUACGGGAGGCAGCAGUGGGGAAUAUUGCACAAUGGGGGGAACCCUGAUGCAGCCAUGCCGCGUGUGUGAAGAAGGCCUUCGGGUUGUAAAGCACUUUCAGUUGUGAGGAAAGGUGUGUAGUUAAUAGCUGCAUACUGUGACGUUAACAACAGAAGAAGCACCGGCUAACUUCGUGCCAGCAGCCGCGGUAAUACGAGGGGUGCAAGCGUUAAUCGGAAUUACUGGGCGUAAAGCGAGCGUAGGCGGCUGAAUAAGCUGGAUGUGAAAAACCGGGGCUCAACCUCGGCCGUGCAUUCAGAACUGUUUAGCUAGAGUCCUGUAGAGGGGGGUAGAAUUUCA
rnacentral:rRNA from 1 species